rnacentral:rRNA from 1 species
GACGUAGGAUGCAAGCGUUGUCCGGAAUUAUUGGGCGUAAAGAGCUCGUAGGCGGUCUGUCGCGUCGGACGUGAAAACCCAGGGCUCAACCCUGGGCCUGCGUUCGAUACGGGCAGACUAGAGUUCGGUAGGGGAGACUGGAAUUCCUGGUGUAGCGGUGAAAUGCGUAGAUAUCAGGAGGAACACCGGUGGCGAAGGCGGGUCUCUGGGCCGAAACUGACGCUGAGGAGCGAAAGCGUGGGGAGCGAACAGG